rnacentral:rRNA from 1 species
GACGAACGCUGGCGGCGUGCUUAACACAUGCAAGUCGAACGGUGAAGGGACCGGUUUUUGCUGGUUCUGGAUGAGUGGCGAACGGGUGAGUAACACGUGAGUAGCCUGCCCCCUUCUUCUGGAUAACCGCAUGAAAGUGUGGCUAAUACGGGAUAUUCUGCGCCUGCUGCAUGGUGGGUGUGGGAAAGAUAUUGUUUCGGUGGGGGAUGGGCUCGCGGCCUAUCAGCUUGUUGGUGGGGUGAUGGCCUACCAAGGCGGUGACGGGUAGCCGGCCUGAGAGGGUGGACGGUCACACUGGGACGGAGACACGGCCCAGACUCCUACGGGAGGCAGCAGUGGGGAAUAUUGCACAAUGGGCGCAAGCCUGAUGCAGCGACGCCGCGUGAGGGAUGGAGGCCUUCGGGUUGUAAACCUCUUUCGCCAGUGAAGCAGGCCUGUCCCUUUUGUGGGUGGGUUGACGGUAGCUGGAUAAGAAGCGCCGGCUAACUACGUG